GCCGGAGUGGUGAAAUUGGUAUACACGCUUGCCUUAGGAGCAAGUGGGAUAACUCCCAUGGAGGUUCAAGUCCUCUCUCCGGCA
rnacentral:tRNA from 1 species